GCGGGGAGUGCUCCUGCGCUUUCUCCUUCCUCCUCCGGCGUCCCGCCUCGCCCUCCUCCCGCAGAGGGUACCACCAAUCCGGCUCCCAGCCCGAGAUUAACCCCUUGCCAGGCGCUGAUCUCCAUCGUCAGCCGCGUUCUGGAAAGGCUGGCUCUCGGACUGGGAGGAGCAGGUGCCGCACCAGGAACUGAGGGAACCUGGUGAGAAAUGAGGCUCCUUCCAGCUUCUGCGCAUGUUGGCUGACUUAAGGACUCAUCGGAGUUGGUUGGGUGGUUUUUAUAUUUGUCUUUUGAUCGGAUGAAAUGCAUUUAAAGAAUUACUCCUAUGAAUUUUAAAAAGUAAUUUAAUAGCACAGCUACCAGAGUUUGAACAAUAGAACGUCAGGGCCAAUUGCCCACAGAUCAGGAUGACCGCGCCAAGUUUCUAGGAUGAAAAACCGCCUAAGGAGAGAAGGAAACUAUGGACAAACUCGUGACAGCGGCUAUGUUUCCGUCAAAUUACAGAAGCGUUGAUUGGAAAGGGGCUACGCAGAUGAAAAAGGGAGGGAAGCGCUGACCUGGUGGGGCUUUAAAAGGAACUUCUCAGCUCCGUUCCAUGAGCUUCUUGAGAGUUACUAUUUCUUCUUUAUCCCCAGCUCCUGACGCAUAGAGUCUUGAAGAAUGCGAGGGUCCCAAAGGCAGGAUGCACUUGAUUCUCUGUACCCAUUUUACAGACAAACUCAAACCAAUGUACUUUCUUCAGUGCUGCGUUUCAGAAUACUCACUCGAAAAACCGGAAGUCCUGACUUUGGACUGAGAAUUAAAUGGAAAUGUAGCUCUAUUUAUGGAAGACACAGAAAGGACAUUUGAUCUGCAGUUAGUUAUAUCAGACUGCACCUGUGGCUGACCUCACAGCUUCCCAGCCCAUCUUUUUGUUCGAGCUUUGCUGUGACAAACGACUGCAUACAGGUGUUACCUGUGAGCACCUUGCCUGGGCUGCACCUGGUGUCGUCUUGCCUCUAGUCUUCCCUGUCACAGCAGCCAGGGACCUCUGCGGAAAAUCCCUGCCCAUUCUGACACAUGUGCAUACCUACAAAUUGUCAAAGAACUAACACUUCUUGGGACAAGCUUUGAGGCAGAAACGAGCUGAUGGAGAAAUACUCCCCUCUUCCAUUCUUCUGGUGCGCAGUUCUAAGGCGUAUUCUGCAUAGCUCCUGAGAGGAUAGAGCCCACGGUGGUGCCCAACUUUAUCAGUUCAGUACUGCACCCUUGGUUUGCUUUUGUCUGUUCUUCCUUCCUUGCCUGAUCUUCCCACCCCUCCAUUCCUGUUCCUUGGGCUUUGAUCCCAAAAUAAACUACCUGUAUGAAAA
rnacentral:lncRNA from 1 species